AGUGAACGCUGGCGGUAGGCCUAACACAUGCAAGUCGAACGGCAGCACAGUAAGAGCUUGCUCUUACGGGUGGCGAGUGGCGGACGGGUGAGGAAUACAUCGGAAUCUACUUUUUCGUGGGGGAUAACGUAGGGAAACUUACGCUAAUACCGCAUACGACCUACGGGUGAAAGCAGGGGAUCUUCGGACCUUGCGCGAUUGAAUGAGCCGAUGUCGGAUUAGCUAGUUGGCGGGGUAAAGGCCCACCAAGGCGACGAUCCGUAGCUGGUCUGAGAGGAUGAUCAGCCACACUGGAGCUGAGACACGGUCCAGACUCCUACGGGAGGCAGCAGUGGGGAAUAUUGGACAAUGGGCGCAAGCCUGAUCCAGCCAUACCGCGUGGGUGAAGAAGGCCUUCGGGUUGUAAAGCCCUUUUGUUGGGAAAGAAAAGCAGCAGGUUAAUACCCCGCUGUUCUGACGGUACCCAAAGAAUAGGCACCGGCUAACUUCGUG
rnacentral:rRNA from 1 species